AUGUUCAUUGACAACCUCAGGAAGAGGAAGAAAAUCAACCCGGGGUUCUUCUUUGAGUAUGUUCUUGAUGAUAAAAACUGUCUGACACAUGUAUUUUGGGCUGAUGCUUUUUGUGGAAAGAAUUAUGCUUUGUUUGGAGAAAUGGUGUCCUUUGACUCUACAUAUAGCACCAACCAGUACAACAUGAAUUUUUGCCCAUUCACAGGAAUAAACCACCACAUGGGAUCUCUUUUUUAUGGUGCCGCCUUGAUUGUAGAUGAGAAGAUAGAGUCAUAUGAAUGGGUAUUUGAAACGUACUUGAAAGCAAUGGAUGGGGCAGCACCAAGGCUUAUAGUGACCGAUGAAGACCAAAGCAUGAAGGCUGCAAUUGAACAUAUAAUGCCAAGCACUAUCCAUAGGUUAUGCAUGUAUCACAUAAUGAGAAGGCUUCCAGAAAAGGUUGGCCCUCCAUUGAGAGAGGAUGAACAUUUCUAUAGUACAAUUAACUCAUGUGUAUGGGGCUCUGAAAACCCAGCUGAAUUUGAGGCAAAAUGGUCUUCAUUGAUUUCUGAAUUUGGGCUUGAGGAAAACACAUGGUUUGCCAGGAGAUAUGAACUUCAUGAAUCAUGGAUACUAGCCUACUUCAAGGUGUUUUUUUGGGUGAGACUCUAA
rnacentral:rRNA from 1 species